GGCAGCUCUUAGCAGAUGAGAUGAUGGACAAUGAAACCUACUUGUUUCAUCUGGGCUGAUGAAGGGCAUGGGCUUUGCAUUCAUGGGUUUCGGGGUUCAGAUCCCAGUCUUGACACUUAGAAGUUGUGAGACAACACAAGAUACUUAAGAUAUUUAGUUUAUAGAUGCAGCACCUGAGGCAUAAAGAGGUUGAGUGACUCCUAAGGGAUGGAAUUAAGUAUGUGCUGUUGAAAAUGAGGACUCAGUCAGGAGCCUCCCUGGAACUUGUGAAGAUGCGAAUUCUCAGGUCCUGCCCAGGACUCCCUGGAUCAGAAAUGCUGUGGAUGGGCCUAUAAAUCUCUGUUUUAACAAACCCUCCAGGUGAUUCUAAGGUACAUCAGGCUUUUAGAAUGACAAUCCAGAAAGCAAGGGAGCAUUGCCAGGACAAGUCAGGAGCGAGGAUAGCAGUUAAAGAAGCGUAUUCCUAUUAAGGAAGGGUACUGUCAUCAUUAUCUCCAGCGCAGACGAGGACACUUACACGCCCUUUAACGAGGCUUACGGAUCCUUAGUUUUGCAAGUACCUAACCUACAGAGUGUGUGAGCAGCAGAGCCAGCAUUCAAUGGAAAGAGGGAGGAAAGUCUUUCUGAUUCCACCUGUGUCUGCUGCUUUCCUGCCAUCUCUUCAACAGAUUUGUCCCACUGUUGCAAACAUAAGCUGGUAAUACACAAACGCGUAGUCAGAACAAAAAAUUUAAAAAGACAGAACAAAUCCCAUCUGGGCAUUGAUCUGUAUCUCUGGAAUUCAGCGUGGUGUUCUCUCUCAUUUUGGCCAUGCAGACCUUCCAUGGCUUGCUUUUCGCUUCUCUGGUGCCAACGCUGUUUUUGACAAUUGUUUAACGUCCUAUAUGCAUUAAAGACUUUUUCUUUUUUAAAAAAUCUUUAUUGGAGUAUAACUGAUUUACAAUGUUGUGUUAGUUUCAGGUGUACAGCAAAGUGAAUCUGCUAUCCAUACACACAUAUCCACUCUCGUUUAGAUUAUUUUCCCGUGUAGACCAUUACAGAGUAUUGAGUGGAGAUCCCUAUGCUGCGCAGCAAGUUCUUAUUAGUUAUU
ensembl:lncRNA